AUAUGGGUGGAGAAGUGGUGUUGAAAGCCAGAGUAAUUCAUUACAAUCAGCUUGUUCCUGGAACAGUCUGAAAAGAGACAUGCAAGAAGUAGUUGGCAUGCUUGAAGUAAUAGCCUGAGGGAGCGGUCACAAGUGAACACUGUUGCUCCAGACUUAAACAGAGAUAAAUAAUCAAGGUAACUGCUGACCUAUACAAACUGUGUGUGUUGCUCACUAUGCAGGCCUGGCUAGCACACGCAGCAGUUUGGAAGCAAAGUUCUGCCUAUCUGCAGUAACCAUCUGCUCCGUGAGGAACAAGGAGAAGCAGUCCAAACCUUUCCUGUGAUGCAGGCCUGGGAACUUGAUAGUCCAGAUAAAGAUGAAAAGGAAGAGAUGGGAAGCUUCUCCUUAGUUGCACAGUAGAAAUCACUGUCUAGCUGUAAGUCACAUACUACAAGUUUCCAGGAAGGGCAGUAUGAUAUGCCUGUGUCAAACUGUCACUCUAUCUUGCACUGUGCUCUCUGACUUGUAUUACAGCAAGAGCCAAGCGCAAGACAGUGUGCUACAGACAGUUUGCCCGCUGAGAGGAUCCCUUGACAUCUUGUCCCUGAGAACCUGAACACCAGCUUGGCUUGCCUCUCACAAGUUGGCCCAGCUAGCUGGGAGAUUGAACUUUCUGUGGAAGUGUCACUGAUAACUGAUGACAUCUGACGCUUUUCAGCCUAAAUACAUGGCAGAGUGGCAAUCUGCAUUCAAAGCAUGGUUGGCUAUAUCUGUGCAAAGAUGACUGCAGAAUAAGAAUACAAUAGGCGCUUUGUCUGCUCAAGAGCAUUACGUAUUUUAAACCUGGAAAACAAUGAAAUCAGACAGGAAUUGGCAACCUCAGCACCUUCAUUAGUACUAUUUUUGAAUUAAAAUUUCCAUACUCUUUGGAAUUUGAUGGCUGUGAUUAAAUAAGCCCCUUCUCCAGCUAGAAAAAGAAAAACUAGAAACAAGAAGAGCCUGCACUCAGGUAAGGACUGAUGAAGAAUGAGCUCAAAGUGGAACCAAAGUAUUCAUGGAAGAGGAGUGCAUGAGAUCUAGAGAAGAUGGGAUCUGUUAAGUGCUAGUGGGUCUGCAGACAGUUAGGCUGUUUAGAGGUGGAUUGGGCCAUACUGUUGCACUGAAUAUCUCUAAAUGAACGUCCUUAAUUACCGCUAAUACAGCUAGGAGGAAAAGAGUGAAUUGCAGUUCUAAAAUCUGUUUGUAGUGAUCUUUCAUUUCAUGAGCUGUUCUGUCCUUUGUUGUAACUUCCAAAGUUUUAAUUAUUCUUGCCCAUAGUUAAAAUUAUGCCUGUGUG
rnacentral:lncRNA from 7 species